rnacentral:rRNA from 1 species
GGCAUGGCGGCAGCUACACAUGCAAGUCGAACGGUAGCACAGAGUAAGCUUGCUCUCGGGUGACGAGUGGCGGACGGGUGAGUAAUGUCUGGGAAACUGCCUGAUGGAGGGGGAUAACUACUGGAAACGGUAGCUAAUACCGCAUAACGUCGCAAGACCAAAGAGGGGGACCUUCGGGCCUCUUGCCAUCAGAUGUGCCCAGAUGGGAUUAGCUAGUAGGUGGGGUAACGGCUCACCUAGGCGACGAUCCCUAGCUGGUCUGAGAGGAUGACCAGCCACACUGGAACUGAGACACGGUCCAGACUCCUACGGGAGGCAGCAGUGGGGAAUAUUGCACAAUGGGCGCAAGCCUGAUGCAGCCAUGCCGCGUGUAUGAAGAAGGCCUUCGGGUUGUAAAGUACUUUCAGCGGGGAGGAAGGUGUUGUGGUUAAUAACCGCAGCAAUUGACGUUACCCGCAGAAGAAGCACCGGCUAACUCCGUGCCAGCAGCCGCGGUAAUACGGAGGGUGCAAGCGUUAAUCGGAAUUACUGGGCGUAAAGCGCACACAAGCGGUCUGUCAAGUCCGAUGUGAAAUCCCCGGGCUCAACCUGGGAGCUGCGUUCUCAAAUGGGGUGCUAUAGACUCUUAAAGAGGGGGAUACAACUCCCAUGGGGCACGACUUAAAAGAAAUACAUAUCGUUUAAGGAUGUGGGUUAUCCG